CUGGGAUUAAAGUUUAGAGAGAGUGAAUGAGCACGCAGAAAAGGCUUGUAGAUGUAUAAAGAAGAUUUUUAAAAGGGAAAAAGAAAAGGAUGAAGAUGGUGGAAGAGCUAAGCAAAAUCCAAAGAGAGGAAGCAAAAGAGAGAGAGAGAGAGAUCUAAAAAUAGAAAUCUAAAAUAAGGGGGGAAUUAAGAAUUAUUAGGCAGCGGAAUCCUUAGAAAUGAGGUCCUCGAUCAGAUCGGCAGCCUCUUGGACGGUGGUGAUGCUCUGGGCGCUCUCUUCUUCAACGCUGAUCUUAAAUUCCUCUUCCAGCCCCAUCACUAUCUCAACCGUAUCAAGAGAAUCAGCUCCGAGCUCAGAAAACUUUGAUUCUCCAUCGACCUUAGAAUCUUCAGCUAAAGCAAGCUGUUUCCUCACAAUUUCAACCACCUUGUUCACUGUCUCUGGCUUAGCCGCACAGCAAACCUGAAGGCUUCCCUGCCUGAGGUUCCUUCGUAAUGGAAAAAUAGCCCUGCCUAAAGGCGCGGAAACUAAUUUCGAACCUGAGAUCCUGGCGCUUGACACCUGGCUUUGCUUGAAAGAAGCAGAGAGAGAAGGCAUGGAAACCGAAGAUCCAGCGACGGAGAACAUCUUUGUAUCUUGUUGUUAAGGAGAGAGUUUACGGAGAGAUCUGAGAUUUGAAACAAAAUGGAAUGAAAGGGAAAAAGAAGGAAAGAUGAG
rnacentral:misc_RNA from 1 species